ACGCUGGCGGCAGGCCUAACACAUGCAAGUCGAGCGGCAGCACGGGUACUUGUACCUGGUGGCGAGCGGCGGACGGGUGAGUAAUGCCUAGGAAUCUGCCUGGUAGUGGGGGAUAACGCUCGGAAACGGACGCUAAUACCGCAUACGUCCUACGGGAGAAAGCAGGGGACCUUCGGGCCUUGCGCUAUCAGAUGAGCCUAGGUCGGAUUAGCUAGUUGGUGGGGUAAUGGCUCACCAAGGCGACGAUCCGUAACUGGUCUGAGAGGAUGAUCAGUCACACUGGAACUGAGACACGGUCCAGACUCCUACGGGAGGCAGCAGUGGGGAAUAUUGGACAAUGGGCGAAAGCCUGAUCCAGCCAUGCCGCGUGUGUGAAGAAGGUCUUCGGAUUGUAAAGCACUUUAAGUUGGGAGGAAGGGCAGUUACCUAAUACGUAUCUGUUUUGACGUUACCGACAGAAUAAGCACCGGCUAACUCUGUGCCAGCAGCCGCGGUAAUACAGAGGGUGCAAGCGUUAAUCGGAAUUACUGGGCGUAAAGCGCGCGUAGGUGGUUUGUUAAGUUGAAUGUGAAAUCCCCGGGCUCAACCUGGGAACUGCAUGCAAAACUGGCAAGCUAGAGUAUGGUAGAGGGUGGUGGAAUUUCCCGUGUAGCGGUGAAAUGCGUAGAUAUAGGAAGGAACACCGGUGGCGAAGGCGACCACCUGGACUGAUACUGACACUGAGGUGCGAAAGCGUGGGGAGCAAAC
rnacentral:rRNA from 1 species